CUACGGGAUGCUGCAGUGGGGAAUAUUGCACAAUGGAGGAAACUCUGAUGCAGCAACGCCGCGUGGAGGAUGACACUUUUCGGAGCGUAAACUCCUUUUAUAUAGGAAGAAGAUGACGGUACUAUAUGAAUAAGCGCCGGCUAACUCCGUGCCAGCAGCCGCGGUAAUACGGAGGGCGCAAGCGUUACUCGGAAUCACUGGGCGUAAAGAGCGUGUAGGCGGAUUAAAAAGUCAGAAGUGAAAUCCUAUAGCUUAACUAUAGAACUGCUUCUGAAACUCUUAAUCUAGAAUAUGGGAGAGGUAGAUGGAAUUUCUGGUGUAGGGGUAAGAUCCGUAGAGGUCAGAAGGAAUACCGAUUGCGAAGGCGAUCUACUAGAACAUUAUUGACGCUGAGACGCGAAAGCGUGGGGAGCAAACAGGAUUAGAUACCCCAGUAGUC
rnacentral:rRNA from 1 species